rnacentral:rRNA from 1 species
GAUGAACGCUAGCGACAGGCUUAACACAUGCAAGUCGAGGGGUAGAGGAAGCUUGCUUCCUUGAGACCGGCGCACGGGUGCGAAACGCGUAUACAAUCUACCUUAUACAGGGGGAUAGCCCAGAGAAAUUUGGAUUAAUACCCCAUAGGAUUACAGAAUGGCAUCAUUUAGUAAUUAAAGCCACGGUGGUAUAAGAUGAGUAUGCGUCCUAUUAGCUAGUUGGAGAGGUAACGGCUCACCAAGGCAACGAUAGGUAGGGGUCCUGAGAGGGAGAUCCCCCACACUGGUACUGAGACACGGACCAGACUCCUACGGGAGGCAGCAGUGAGGAAUAUUGGUCAAUGGACGGAAGUCUGAACCAGCCAUGUCGCGUGCAGGAAGACGGCCUUAUGGGUUGUAAACUGCUUUUUAUACAGGGAUAAACCCCUUCUCGUGAGGAGGGCUGAAGGUACUGUAUGAAUAAACACCGGCUAACUCCGUGCCAGCAGCCGCGGUAAAGUCGAUA